rnacentral:lncRNA from 1 species
GCAACUUACAAAUGAGAUUUUUGAAUCCUGUGAUCUUAGAUUUUUGGGGUCCUAAACUUGCAAUAUUGGAAUUGGAAAACUUAGCAAAUCGAAAAAUGCACUCUUUUUGGAACAGAUCAAAAUGGAAAGUAAGACACUAGGAGUGGGAGUAAUAUUUAUGGUAUAGUUUUUUGAGAGGCACAAGAGCUAACAAAGAGUAUUUAUAUUUGACUGCCUUAAAG